UACGUGUCGAAUCACGAGAAAAGUCGAUUGAAAAUUUGAAGACCGCUCGCAGCGCCAUUGUGCGGUGCUCAUAAGAAUAUUCCUUGUGACGCAAUAGGAACUCGUCCUUUCCGUCGACCUACCGUGAGUGGAACAUGUCGCAUACGUCUGAGCGAAGAAACGAUGAUCAAUGGGCAGGAGAUUCCAAAAAUGGUCCUAGUGAAAGUGAUCAACAGACAUACGAUGGCCCCCCUGGCAUGGAGCCCGAUGGGAUCAUCGAAUCCAACUGGGAUGUUGUCGUUGACAACUUUGAUGAAAUGAACCUAAAAGAAGAAUUACUACGUGGUAUUUAUGCUUAUGGCUUUGAAAAACCAUCUGCAAUUCAACAACGUGCCAUUCUGCCAUGUAUAAGAGGACACGAUGUGAUCGCGCAGGCACAAUCAGGAACUGGUAAAACUGCUACAUUUUCAAUUUCUAUUUUACAACAAAUUGAUACCAAUAUCAAGGAAUGUCAAGCAUUGAUUCUAGCCCCAACUCGUGAACUUGCUCAACAAAUCCAGAAAGUUGUUAUUGCUUUGGGAGAUUUUAUGCAUGCAGAAUGUCAUGCAUGCAUUGGAGGUACCAAUGUACGUGAAGAUAUGCGAAAAUUAGAACAAGGUGUUCACAUAGUAGUUGGUACACCUGGUAGAGUUUAUGAUAUGAUUAGUCGACGGGCAUUACGGGCCAGUAGCAUCAAACUGUUCGUAUUAGAUGAAGCUGAUGAAAUGCUCUCUCGUGGUUUCAAGGAUCAGAUUCAUGAUGUAUUUAAAUUAUUACCUCAUGAAGUACAGGUUAUAUUACUAUCUGCUACUAUGCCGACAGAUGUAUUAGAUGUGUCUACAUGCUUCAUGCGAAAUCCAAUUCGUAUUCUGGUUAAAAAGGAAGAACUUACAUUAGAGGGUAUUAAACAGUUCUUCAUCUACGUUGAACGUGAAGAAUGGAAGUUUGAGACUCUUUGUGACUUAUAUGAUACAUUGAGUAUCACCCAGGCAGUUAUCUUUUGUAACACGCGGCGUAAAGUAGAUUGGUUAACGGAGAGUAUGCGCACCCGCGACUUCACAGUCUCUGCUAUGCAUGGAGAUAUGGAACAAAAAGAGCGAGAUCUCAUUAUGAGGCAGUUCAGAACUGGAUCAUCUCGUGUCCUCAUAACAACUGAUCUUCUAGCACGUGGUAUUGAUGUUCAACAGGUUUCUCUUGUCAUCAAUUAUGAUUUACCUUCCAAUCGCGAAAAUUACAUUCACAGAAUCGGUCGAGGUGGUCGUUUCGGUCGUAAGGGAGUGGCAAUUAACUUGGUAACAGAUGACGACAAACGAACAUUGAAAGAUAUUGAACAAUUCUAUAAUACUAGCAUCGAAGAAAUGCCAAUGAAUGUCGCAGAUUUAAUCUAAAUCUGACUAUUGGCUAUAAUUCAUUAUAACUAAAAAAAAAAAAAAUAAAAGUAAGUGACAUACGGAGCUCUCAGCUGAUCUCUCAUGGUGUGCAAUUUUGAGCGGUCCAGAAAUGAGGGAGAUAUUUUUGGAAAUAAAGACCAAAUUUCGUGAUUCAAUAUAGAAGUUUUGUAAAUCGAUUACCUCUCUAAUUUCCUGCCCUUUGCAGGUUAUUAUAUAAACAACAUAAUAUAAAUGUCGAAUUAUUUAUACAUACAUUUGCAUUAUUUAUUUUUAAUAAUUAUAGAAGUCAGAUUUUUACACGAUCAUUUUAUAUCUUCUCAAUAAAAAGGCAUAUUGAAAUACUUUUCAUUCAUUAGUUGUGUAUUUGUGUGCUUUGUUGGGAAUAAAAUUUUAAUGUUUCGUAUAUUGUGAGAACUUUUAUAUAUAAAUAUAUAUAUAUAUGUAUAUAAAUAUAUAUAUAUAUAUUGUAUCUUCGUGAAGAAAGUGUGUUACGAAUAAAUAUUCGAUUAUUCAAGCACAGUUUUAUUUUGUAACGUCGACGAUAGUUUUCGAAAGUUGGAGUAAUUUCAUGCAAUUCUUCAUUUCGACAUUUAAUAUUAUUAGAACAAUUCAAGGUAUCUUUUCUUCCGUAUGUAUACGUAUUUUGAAACUGCUCGAAUUUCCGAAAACUGUUCAUUAUUCAAUUCUGUAAAUAUUACAAAUGAUUUUUUCAAAUGGUGGACUAUUGUGAGUUCUAUUGUAUUUAUACAUUAUAGAAAAACAAUAUGGUUAAAUUGAACUCUUAAAAUCAACACAAUAAAUGUGCAUGUCGUUUACAUACAGCCAUCGCAUCACUAUUUUUACUUGUCUAUAUUUAUUUUAAAAUACUCAUAUUUAUUUUACAUUAAGUGGAUUAUUAAGCAUGUUAAGAUCAUAAUAAGGGUUUGCGAUGACCGUAGAUCCCCAAUAUAACAUAAUAAUCCAAGAGCCCUAAGAUCCACCUUCAUUUCAACGUAAUUAUUUACUUUAUCCAAACGAUAUAUAAUAAUGUGUAUGUAACAACAAAUAAUCGAUACGACUGUAAUGUAUUGGCACAAGUUAAUAUUAAAAUGAAUCGAAAGCCCGAA